rnacentral:lncRNA from 1 species
GUAGAAAUAAACUGUCCAUGAAUUUAAAUCAAAACUAUUUAUAACACUUUGAGUGUUAGAGCAUAAGAAGAUGAACUUUAGGAAGUUAAGAGAGUGAUUCCCAAAUUCAGCGUGCAUCAGAAUCACCUGGAGGACUUGUUGAAACACAGAAUGCUGAGCUCCGCCUCAAGUUUCUGAUUCAGUAGUUCAGGGGUAAGGGCCAAGAAUUUGCAUUUCUACCAGGUGCUCAUGUAAUGCUGAUGCUACUUUUCCAGGAACUGCUCUUUGAGAAUCUUCUAGUAGGAUACAAAACUUCAUUCUUUAAUGAAGAAUCCGAAAAACUGAGAGGCAAACAAAGGGACUCACUCAAAAUGAGACAAGAUAUGAAAAGCCUUCAUAGAGGAAGAGGAUGAAGGGGCAGCAUAAAGAAGGAAUAGUCAAGAAUGUAAGAGAAGGAAAUCAAGAACAGGAGUUGAGCCUUUCUCUAUGCCUCUAAAACAAGCCCAGCAGUGGGGCCCUGGUUAUCUAUCUAAAAGUUGUUGGAAGGAAAGCAUAAGAUAAUGAUGUGGCUCACUCGCUGCAAAUGGUCUACCCUCCACCUCCCAGCUCCUCCAUUGAUCUCACUGAAAGAAAAGAUUGCUGGCUCGUCAAUGAUAGUGGCUCUGGCAUGUGCAAAGCUGGCUUUGCUGGGGAAGACACCCCCUGAGCCAUGUUUCUCUCCAUCGUCAGGUGCCCCUGGCACCACAGUGUGAUAGUGGGCAUGGGCAAGAAGGACUCCUACAUGGGUGACAAGACCCAGAGCAAGCCAGAUGCUGACCCUGAAGUACCCCAUCCAGCACUGCAUGGACACCAACUGGGGCAACAUGGAGAAGAUCUAGUA